rnacentral:rRNA from 1 species
ACGCUGGCGGCAGGCCUAACACAUGCAAGUCGAGCGGAAACGACAUCAUUGAAUCUUCGGAGGAUUUGUUGGGCGUCGAGCGGCGGACGGGUGAGUAAUGCCUAGGAAAUUGCCUUGAUGUGGGGGAUAACCAUUGGAAACGAUGGCUAAUACCGCAUAAUGCCUACGGGCCAAAGAGGGGGACCUUCGGGCCUCUCGCGUCAAGAUAUGCCUAGGUGGGAUUAGCUAGUUGGUGAGGUAAUGGCUCACCAAGGCGACGAUCCCUAGCUGGUCUGAGAGGAUGAUCAGCCACACUGGAACUGAGACACGGUCCAGACUCCUACGGGAGGCAGCAGUGGGGAAUAUUGCACAAUGGGCGAAAGCCUGAUGCAGCCAUGCCGCGUGUAUGAAGAAGGCCUUCGGGUUGUAAAGUACUUUCAGUUGUGAGGAAGGGUGURWMGUUAAUAGCUGCGCAUCUUGACGUUAGCAACAGAAGAAGCACCGGCUAACUCCGUGCCAGCAGCCGCGGUAAUACGGAGGGUGCGAGCGUUAAUCGGAAUUACUGGGCGUAAAGCGCAUGCAGGUGGUUCAUUAAGUCAGAUGUGAAAGCCCGGGGCUCAACCUCGGAACUGCAUUUGAAACUGGUGAACUAGAGUGCUGUAGAGGGGGGUAGAAUUUCAGGUGUAGCGGUGAAAUGCGUAGAGAUCUGAAGGAAUACCAGUGGCGAAGGCGGCCCCCUGGACA